rnacentral:tRNA from 1 species
UUAAAUGAAGCAUUUUGUAAUGCAUUUAACUGUUAAUUAAAAGAAAACUAAUUUAUUAGUCAUUUAAA